ACGGGAAGUGGUACUUGCUCCUCCUAGCGGCGGACGGGUGAGUAAUGCUUAGGAAUCUGCCUAUUAGUGGGGGACAACAUUCCGAAAGGAAUGCUAAUACCGCAUACGCCCUACGGGGGAAAGCAGGGGACCUUCGGGCCUUGCGCUAAUAGAUGAGCCUAAGUCGGAUUAGCUAGUUGGUGGGGUAAAGGCCUACCAAGGCGACGAUCUGUAGCGGGUCUGAGAGGAUGAUCCGCCACACUGGGACUGAGACACGGCCCAGACUCCUACGGGAGGCAGCAGUGGGGAAUAUUGGACAAUGGGCGAAAGCCUGAUCCAGCAAUGCCGCGUGUGUGAAGAAGGCCUUUUGGUUGUAAAGCACUUUAAGCGAGGAGGAGGCUACUUGGAUUAAUACUAAUGGAUAGUGGACGUUACUCGCAGAAUAAGCACGGCUAACUCUGUGCCAGCAGCCGCGGUAAU
rnacentral:rRNA from 1 species